CAGGCUAGAGUCUUGUAGAGGGGGGUAGAAUUUCAGGUGUAGCGGUGAAAUGCGUAGAGAUCUGAAGGAAUACCAGUGGCGAAGGCGGCCCCCUGGACAAAGACUGACGCUCAGAUGCGAAAGCGUGGGUAGCAAACAGGAUUAGAUACCCUGGUAGUCCACGCCGUAAACGCUGUCUACUUGGAGGUUGAGGUUUUAGACUUUGGCUUUCGGCGCUAACGCAUUAAGUAGACCGCCUGGGGAGUACGGCCGCAAGGUUAAAACUCAAAUGAAUUGACGGGGGCCCGCACAAGCGGUGGAGCAUGUGGUUUAAUUCGAUGCAACGCGAAGAACCUUACCUACUCUUGACAUCCGGAGAACUUUCCAGAGAUGGAUUGGUGCCUUCGGGAACUCUGAGACAGGUGCUGCAUGGCUGUCGUCAGCUCGUGUUGUGAAAUGUUGGGUUAAGUCCCGCAACGAGCGCAACCCUUAUCCUUGUUUGCCAGCACAUAAUGGUGGGAACUCCAGGGAGACUGCCGGUGAUAAACCGGAGGAAGGUGGGGACGACGUCAAGUCAUCAUGGCCCUUACGAGUAGGGCUACACACGUGCUACAAUGGCAGAUACAGAGGGCAGCGAAGCUGCGAAGUAGAGCGAAUCCCUUAAAGUCUGUCGUAGUCCGGAUUGGAGUCUGCAACUCGACUCCAUGAAGUCGGAAUCGCUAGUAAUCGUGGAUCAGAAUGCCACGGUGAAUACGUUCCCGGGCCUUGCACACACCGCCCG
rnacentral:rRNA from 1 species